rnacentral:tRNA from 1 species
GGAGUUGGUAGCUCAGUGAUAGAGUGCAUGCUUUGUAUGUAUGAUUUCCUGGGUUCAAUCCCCAGCUUCUCCU